AGCGCACACGGUGGAUGCCUUGGCGGUCAGAGGCGAUGAAGGACGUGGCAGCCUGCGAAAAGUAUCGGGGAGCUGGCAACAAGCUUUGAUCCGGUAAUGUCCGAAUGGGGAAACCCACCCGCUUGCGGGUAUCCUGCAGUGAAUACAUAGCUGCUGGAAGCGAACCUGGUGAACUGAAAUAUCUAAGUAACCAGAGGAAAAGAAAUCAACCGAGAUUCCGUAAGUAGCGACGAGCGAACGCGGACUAGCCCUUAAGCUGGAUUGGUUCUAGGAAAACGCUCUGGAAAGAGCGGCCAUAGAAGGUGAUAGCCCUGUAUCUGAAAGGGCCAUUCCAGUGAAGACGAGUAGGGCGGGGCACGUGAAACCCUGUCUGAACAUGGGGGGACCAUCCUCCAAGGCUAAAUACUACUGACCGACCGAUAGUGAACCAGUACCGUGAGGGAAAGGCGAAAAGAACCCCGGAGAGGGGAGUGAAAUAGAACCUGAAACCGUGUGCGUACAAGCAGUAGGAGCUCCGCAAGGAGUGACUGCGUACCUUUUGUAUAAUGGGUCAGCGACUUACUGUUCGUGGCAAGCUUAACCGUAUAGGGGAGGCGAAGGGAAACCGAGUCUGAUAAGGGCGCAUAGUCGCGGGCAGUAGACCCGAAACCGGGUGAUCUAGUCAUGCCCAGGGUGAAGGUGCGGUAACACGCACUGGAGGCCCGAACCCACUCCCGUUGCAAAGGUAGGGGAUGAGGUGUGAUUAGGAGUGAAAAGCUAAUCGAACCCGGAGAUAGCUGGUUCUCCUCGAAAGCUAUUUAGGUAGCGCCUCAUAUGUAUCCUCUCGGGGGUAGAGCACUGUUAUGGCUAGGGGGUCAUCGCGACUUACCAAACCAUUGCAAACUCCGAAUACCGAGACGGACUGUAUGGGAGACACACGGCGGGUGCUAACGUCCGUCGUGAAAAGGGAAACAACCCAGACCCACAGCUAAGGUCCCAAAUUUUGUGCUAAGUGGAAAACCAUGUGGAAAGGCACAGACAGCCAGGAGGUUGGCUUAGAAGCAGCCACCCUUUAAAGAAAGCGUAAUAGCUCACUGGUCGAGUCGGUCUGCGGGGAAGAUUUAACGGGGCUAAGCACAGAACCGAAGCUUGGGGUGCAUAACUUUGUUAUGCGCGGUAGAGGAGCGUUCCGUAAGCCGUUGAAGGUGGAUUGAGAAGUCUGCUGGAGGUAUCGGAAGUGCGAAUGCUGACAUGAGUAACGAUAAUGCGGGUGAAAAACCCGCACGCCGAAAGCCCAAGGUUUCCUUGCGCAACGUUAAUCGGCGCAGGGUGAGUCGGCCCCUAAGGCGAGGACGAAAGUCGUAGUCGAUGGGAAGCAGGUUAAUAUUCCUGCACCUCGCGUAAGUGCGAUGGAGGGACGGAGAAGGUUAGGUGUACCAGGCGUUGGUUGUCCUGGGGAAAGGCGGUAGGUUUGGAUCUUUGGCAAAUCCGGGAUCCUUUAAGACCGAGCACCGAGACGAGCCUUUAUGGCGAAGUCACUGAUACCACGCUUCCAGGAAAAGCUCCUAAGCUUCAGCUUACGCAGACCGUACCGUAAACCGACACAGGUGGGUAGGAUGAGAAUUCUCAGGCGCUUGAGAGAACUCGGGUGAAGGAACUAGGCAACAUGGCACCGUAACUUCGGGAGAAGGUGCACCCUUUUUGGUGGCUCGUGCGAGCUAUAGCUGAAGAGGGUCGCAGUAACCAGGCCGCUGCGACUGUUUAUCAAAAACACAGCACUCUGCAAACACGAAAGUGGACGUAUAGGGUGUGACGCCUGCCCGGUGCUGGAAGGUUAAUUGAUGGGGUCAGCCGCAAGGCGAAGCUCUUGAUCGAAGCCCCAGUAAACGGCGGCCGUAACUAUAACGGUCCUAAGGUAGCGAAAUUCCUUGUCGGGUAAGUUCCGACCUGCACGAAUGGCGUAAUGAUGGCCAGGCUGUCUCCACCCGAGACUCAGUGAAAUUGAACUCGCUGUGAAGAUGCAGUGUACCCGCGGCAAGACGGAAAGACCCCGUGAACCUUUACUAUAGCUUGACACUGAACAUUGAGCCUUGAUGUGUAGGAUAGGUGGGAGGCUUUGAAGUGUGGACGCCAGUCUGCAUGGAGCCGACCUUGAAAUACCACCCUUUAAUGUUUGAUGUUCUAACGUUGACCCGUAAUCCGGGUUGCGGACAGUGUCUGGUGGGUAGUUUGACUGGGGCGGUCUCCUCCUAAAGAGUAACGGAGG
rnacentral:rRNA from 1 species